ACUGAGAGCACAGAGCCCAACUCAGGGCUUGACCCCACAAACCGUGAGAUCAUGACCUGAGCCAGAGUCAGACCCUUGACCGACAGAGCCACCAAAGCGCCCCAACCUCUAAUGUUCUAGCUG